CGAGAAACGAGGAGUCCGCCGGAAACAAAGACACCGCUAACGCAAAGUUCACUAUUUAAUCUCAAGGAAAGAACAGCCUGGAGAAAGUUUUAUGAAGUAUGAAAUGGUUUUAUAUGUACAGUAUGUUGUUAAGUCCAAUUUCACGUUAUCAUUUGAAUUGAGGCCAUCUGACAUUUGACCUCGUGUUGCUCGGAGAAGACGAAGCCGACACGAAUGAAUGUGAGUCUGAGCGCAGCAGAAGACGUCAAGCUUUAAAGUUUUUUUUGUUUUUUUCUUUUCUUUUUUUCACCACAUACACCUUCUUCACAAACUUCACUAAAGUAAAAAUCAGAACGUGAACUUGCGUUGCUCAACUUCCAUCGCCACGAGCGCUUUCUGAAGGGCCGCUCGAUCGGAAAACGUGUGGGUGUAUCCGUCUUUGUUUCGCUCUCUGGUUUAGCCUCUUCCUUUUGGUGGAUGCUGACCUAACCGGUUCAAACCGGUGCUGAAAACCGUCUCUUCAUUAUGCAGCUCAAAGUAUGCACUUACAUUCAUGCAGCCUGCGCUUCAUUUACAUGUAUUCUUCACUGUGGACGGACCAGACAACCAAACGGGUCCUCUGCAUUCACUCAUAACGUGCAGAACACGUUCAUUUGCCUCCUCCUUCAUGCAUCAGAUGGUGUUUAUUUUUGAACGUCUACGUGUCAGAAAGUGCCCUUCUGGUUCCUGGUAUUCAUAAACGGUAUCGCUACUGAAACGACUGAGAUCUGUCAAAGUUAUUUAUUAUCUACUUUUUUUUUAAUCGCAUGUUGCCAGUUUGGUCGCACUCGAGUUAUCUGAGCUGCUGCGAUGAAACAUCAGAGCUGUUGAAUAUUCCUUUAGAUAUUGUUAUGCAGUUUCAUAAAAUAAGUUAAAAAUAAAACGCAACACGCACACAGUGUGUGUGUGUAUACAUACCUACACAUGUAUAGAGUAAGUUAUUUUUUAUAUGUUGGACGGAGUGUAAAAUAUCGAACAUUUGGAGAACCAAAUCCAGUUGUGUUGAUGCUGUUUUGUGUUUAUCGCUGCUGCUGUAUAUUGAAAUAUAUAUAUAUAUAUAUAUAUAUAUUGUGAAAUAAAAGCGCAUUCAAGCU
ensembl:lncRNA